GGUGAUUAGCUCAGCUGGGAGAGCACCUCCCUUACAAGGAGGGGGUCGGCGGUUCGAUCCCGUCAUCACCCACCAA
rnacentral:tRNA from 3 species